rfam:Triticum urartu cultivar G1812 contig1157175, whole genome shotgun sequence.
GUUGUACUCCCUCCAUUCCAAAUUACUUGUCUUGGAUUUGUCUAGAUACGGAUGUAUUUAGACUCAUUUUAGUGCUAGAUACCUCCGUAUCUAGACAAAUCUAAGACAAGCAAUUCGGAACGGGGGGAGUAUAUG